CGGGGAAGGAGGAGGACUAGAGAUCUCGUGGCGGUGGAAAGAAUCCCUUCUCGGGAGAUGAAAUGCUGAGUAGUCUUGGGCAAGUUGAGCUUACCCUGUUGGAAAGGCUAUUGGAAGACGGCCUGAACAGGUUAUAAGAUGGCACACCAUGAUUCAGCAGGAACCCUUCAAAGACACCGCAGUAGAUUUGGACUUGACCUGAAAUGUCAUUGGACUUGACCAAAGAAGCUUAUGUUGAGAGAAGCCCAAACAUCAAAUAAUCAAAGAGACAUUUUAAAAAUGCACUGAACAAGUGGGAAUAUCAGUCAUAGGUAAGAAAUCCACUUUAGCUUCAGGUCAAUUUGACUGGGUGAUUUAUAAUCUGUUCUAGAGUUCUCUGGAGGAUAUGUCUGUGUAAAGGAAAGGAGAUGGGUAUAGGCUUUUGGCAGCCAAUGUGACCACAGGGAGGGAUGUUAGCCUAGGUAUGAUUAAGGGCAGGUGUAGGGGAUUAAGGCUAAGACUGGCAAGUACCUUGGAGUGGAAAGAUGUCAUCCUGAGUUGGAAGAAGGCUCUGUUUGCUGGCAAGUUCAGAUAAGUUUUUUUAAAAGAGAGAAAGAAAAAAGAUACUUUGUUACAUUUUUUCCCUUCUAUGUAAACUCACUAAUUGAGUUAUAAAAUUAAGACUGCAGUUUUUCCUGUCCAGCUUCUCCUAUGGCAGUCUGUUAAUUAGGUGUUGAAGUGCAGGGGAGGCGGGUAGAUCCAAGGAAAUGGUUUGCCAACACAACAGCUUGCAGACAUGCGCAUGCAAAGAAAAACAAAUGUUUGCAUUAUUACCAAAGGAAGAAAAGUAG